UACGGAGGAUGCGAGCGUUAUCCGGAUUUAUUGGGUUUAAAGGGUGCGCAGGCGGCACGGCAAGCCGGCGGUCAAAUCGCGGGGCUCAACCCCGCCCAGCCGUCGGAACUGCCGGGCUAGAGUGGGCGAGAAGUGCGCGGAAUGCGUGGUGUAGCGGUGAAAUGCAUAGAUAUCACGCAGAACACCGAUUGCGAAGGCAGCGCACCGGCGCCCUACUGACGCUCAGGCACGAAAGCGUGGGUAUCGAACAGG
rnacentral:rRNA from 1 species